UGGGGAAUUGUUCGCAAUGGGCGCAAGCCUGACGACGCAACGCCGCGUGGAGGAUGAAGGUCUUCGGAUUGUAAACUCCUGUUGCUCGGGACGAAAUGCUUCGACCUAACACGUCGAAGUUUGACGGUACCGAGUGAGGAAGCCCCGGCUAACUCUGUGCCAGCAGCCGCGGUAAUACAGAGGGGGCAAGCGUUGUUCGGAUUUACUGGGCGUAAAGGGCGCGUAGGCGGCGCGGUAAGUCACUUGUGAAAUCUCUGAGCUUAACUCAGAACGGCCAAGUGAUACUGCAGUGCUAGAGUGCAGAAGGGGCAAUCGGAAUUCUUGGUGUAGCGGUGAAAUGCGUAGAUAUCAAGAGGAACACCUGAGGUGAAGACGGGUUGCUGGGCUGACACUGACGCUGAGGCGCGAAAGCCAGGGGAGCAAA
rnacentral:rRNA from 1 species